rfam:Sordaria macrospora k-hell, WGS project CABT02000000 data, contig: 2.1583, organelle: mitochondrion
GCCUGAGAAGCUCAAUUGGUUGAGCAAAGCUUUGAAGCUGCUUUGGUUGUAAGUUCGAGUCUUACCUUAGGCA